ACCCAGUUAUCCUGUGAGCCUGGAUGGAAUCACAAGGUUGAAUUCUAGUUAAGUAGCUUUAGGAUCAGUCUUUGAGAAAUCCAACAACCAGAGUCCUAGACUAGGGUCCCAAGCUGGAAGAGUGGGAACCAAGUCCCAGAGCCCCUGUAUAUGUGUAAGUAGAACAGCCAGGAACUGUCAGGACUCUGAGGUAGAAGCUGUUUCAGCUCUCCUUCCACCAUAGAUACUCUUCUGGGCUUGUGCAGAAAGCCGGGCAGAUAUGCAGGCUGCAGAGAGAGGACUGUUCCACUUCCAGCAGCUCCUCAGUUCUGGAAAACAACAAGAUUGCUCAGCCUUACUCCAAGAAGCCUUUUCUUUCAAGAGAACUGUUCCACAGGAUUCAAGUUGAGAAAACACUCGUCUGAGGUGUAACUUUAAAGUUUCUGCCUUCUCCUGAAAAUUGGGAAAAUAUGACCCCAUACUCAUGUACCAUAUUCUCACCACCAAUAAUCAGUUACAGCUGAGGACGUCAUUUUUAGGGACCUGCAGCUGAUUCGUGAGCUGCUCCUCGCUCCAGCAAUGCACUGCUCCGGGAGGAGACCUGUGAGGUGCUGUGAGAUGGGAGGGAUCCAACUGCUGGAGGAGAGAGCCGA